UCCCAACCAUCUCCCAGUCCCCUCGGUUUUGUCCUCCUCCAUCCUCCUCCUCCUGUCCCCACCAAGCCUCUCCCUUGCACUCCCCAUGUCCCUACAGUUGAAUUCCUUUCCCCUCCCCUGCAUCCCACACAGGGCCCCUUCAACACCCCAAUCCCAGUCCCGUGGGCUCCCCAGUUCCCCCCAGUUGAGCAUCUUUGGGUCCCCCCCAACCUCCCCCCACCCUCCCUGCAGGCCCUGAAUUCCCCUGGCUCUCCUUGUCUCCAUCCCCACCCUGGGCCCUGCAGGCACAGGGCUUGCAGGUGAAACUGGGUGCAGUGGGAGCAGGGGGAGCAGAAGGGAUUUUCCCCCUCAGACGGGGGCAGCCAUGGGCUGGGGGGGCUGGGGACACCCGUGUCCCUCCCCCAGCCCCACAGGGGCCAAUCCUGAGCAACCCUUUGCUCUCCUUGCCCAGGCACUCUUGGCAGGAACCCAAAAUGAUCUGCGGGAGCUGGAUUUAGUGGACGUUGAGAUCCUGAAGACGGCUCAGCCCCCUGUGGUUGAGAAGCUGGUGGGUCUUGUUCGUGAGAAACGCGUGGCUGCAUCCGUGGCUGUCUGAGGACUGGUGGUGACACCCGAGCCCUGUCCCCCUCCAGCGGCAUGAGGAGAUGAUCAUCCCUGGAAGAACCCCCUGAUUUCCCUCAGAGCCCAGGGCCAUUUCCCCUGAAUGAUCAAUAAAUCCCUUCAGCAAAGCUA